GGCACACAGGUUUAUGUAAUAGCUUGAAAGCUAUUAGGGGAAACCCUUUAUAAGGGUUGUGGAGGCAGCUUACCCUUUUCAACCCUUCUGGAAGUCUUGAAGUAGAAGAGUAGCAGUCUCAGUUCAGCCAGCCAUCUGCUCAGGACUUGCUAGAAAUUUAAGAUGGCCUUCUUGCAGUGUUUAUUACCUGCAACUGGACGAUAGAUAAAAACUGAAAAAAGCAGGUCCAGGAUUUGAUUAUAGGGGUUGAACAAAUGCAAAAUACAUGUAAUGCUCAACUUCUGGGAGUUUUCUGACAUUAGAGUUUUGGUAGUGACCCUGAGAACUUGGAUGUCUGGGAAGAACUGACCUGAGAAUGUUGGACCUCCAGAUUUUCCUAGUAUCUCUGGACUUUGAGAACAGCGUCUUUCCUUGACUGAGGAUAAUAUGAAGAAAUUGCCUGAGAAUACACAUGUUGUCCAAAUGGGAUGUAUCUGCAUGAGAUUUACUGAGACCUUGGCUGCAUACUUCUGAGAAAAGCCCUGUUGCAUCAGAAAAUCUUCGUGA
rnacentral:lncRNA from 1 species